AACAGUAUAAAUAUAAGAGCCAGGCUUUUUAAGAAAUGAUUUAGGAACAUCAAGAAGAAUGACAGAAUCAUGGGGUGAAAUAGAAUCCAUUCCUCUGCCUUCAAUUUUUGUGAUGGGUGAUUCAUUCAUCUGCAACUCAUUGCUAUGUUGUAUAGAAAUUGUACCUGUGUUUUGGAAGUUCUUUGUUUUAGAAAUCGCUUGUCAUUUGGAAACCUUUUCAUAAGAUGGAGAUCUUCUGUGGGUUUUAAAAUUUUCACUGUCUUGCUUUGCUGUUUAUGGACAUGUAUUAGUAGAACAUUCUUCCUGAAGGAAAUGUCUUGUAUCUUGUCAGAUUUGAGGCUUCUUCCUUUUUUUCCUCUUUUGCAGCUUGUCCUGCUCUGUGCACCUACUGCUCGUUGUCCCUGCCCUACUACAGUCCAAAGAGAAAGCCUGCUACUGCACAAUGACUGAACAGAAGCCUUGAAAUUGAAACAACCUCCAGCACCUGAAAGCGGAUGGCUAAAGGGAAGAUGUUCCUGAAUCAUUGAGUGUGAGCCUUCAGGCUUCUGUACCUCCUUCCUGAUGGUAGAAAUGAGAACAAGUUUUGUUCAACACAAGGGUGCAUGACUUGUUUGCAGAGGGAGGCCAAUAGAUGGUAAAGAGGAGGAGGCUUCUUUGACUGCGCAAAUUGAUGCCUAGAGGGUCUCAGGUCACUAUUAAGAACCUCAAAAAGAAGACUUCUAAAGCAAGCUGAUUUCAUGCCUGAGGUACGCUCAGCCCCAAUGGGUCCUAUUUGGUUAGAGGAGACAUAGGCCAUCCUGGAUUUUAUGGACUUAUGGAUGCUAUACUUGUCACAUUCUGCCAGUGGUACUGGGCAAAACAUGACCUGCCAGAAUCUGCAAAUUGUUUAAUGGUUCUUUUGAAGACCCUGACCUGGAAUUACAUGCUGACUUCAUUUCUUUGGAGAAAUUGAACCCGCUCUCAGGGUCUCACAAUUGGCCGCUUUUCAAUAUGCCGAGGACGCGGCCUGGAAGAUGAGUACGCCUUCAGGGUGCCGGAUUUUUGUGGCUCUGGGGGCAGGCAAGCUCGAGGUCGGUGCCGUGCCUGGUGUGUCGUGGGAGUACAUGGAGGAUCGUAAGCAGCGAGCUGGCUGCUGGCUGUGUGCCCAGAGAAGCAAGUUCUUUGGACACAGUGCUUGGAAAAAGUGACACAAGAGAAUUUUAAAACACCAUUAAUCAUACAGAAAGCAAACACUGACCAGCAAUCCAGAGACAGCUGACAACUCAAGUGAAAAGAAGAACAAACAAGAGUGCUCUAAAGUUUGCAAUUAAAUUGAAGUCAUCACGUUGUUAUGUACCCCAUCCAGCCUCGGACAAUAUGCCAGACAAGGUCUCUCAUUCUGCAUACGUCAACCUAAUAAAACUGUGCAGUGCUGGAAUUCCCA